CACAAGCGGUGGAGCAUGUGGUUUAAUUCGAAGCAACGCGAAGAACCUUACCAGGUCUUGACAUCCCUGACAACCCGAGAGAUCGGGCGUUCCCCUUCGGGGGACAGGGUGACAGGUGGUGCAUGGUUGUCGUCAGCUCGUGUCGUGAGAUGUUGGGUUAAGUCCCGCAACGAGCGCAACCCUCGACCUUAGUUGCCAGCAUUCAGUUGGGCACUCUAAGGUGACUGCCGGCUAAAAGUCGGAGGAAGUGGGGAUGACGUCAAAUCAUCAUGCCCCUUAUGACCUGGGCUACACACGUGCUACAAUGGUUGGUACAACGAGUUGCGAGUCGGUGACGGCGAGCUAAUCUCUUAAAGCCAAUCUCAGUUCGGAUUGUAGGCUGCAACUCGCCUACAUGAAGUCGGAAUCGCUAGUAAUCGCGGAUCAGCACGCCGCGGUCGAAUACGUUCCCGGGCCUU
rnacentral:rRNA from 1 species